UACGUAGGUGGCAAGCGUUGUCCGGAUUUACUGGGCGUAAAGAGCGCGCAGGCGGUCGUUCAAGUCGCGUGUGAAAGCCCCCGGCUCAACUGGGGAGGGUCACGCGAUACUGAUCGACUCGAAGGCAGGAGAGGGAAGUGGAAUUCCCGGUGUAGCGGUGAAAUGCGCAGAUAUCGGGAGGAACACCGGUGGCGAAGGCGGUUCUCUGGGCCUUACCUGACGCUGAGGAGCGAAAGCGUGGGGAGCGAACAGG
rnacentral:rRNA from 1 species